rnacentral:lncRNA from 1 species
AACUCCUCAUGUUUCCUCUUUCUUUUCAUACCUUAGCGUAUAUAUUACUAUAUUCGUCAUCCAGGAGCCGAACCGACAAUUUUAAAUAUAAACACAGACUACCAAUCUAACAAGAGGUACUAGAAAUAACCACGAAGUGUUGUAGAUCUAGGUAUAGAUGGUUUAAGAAAACCAAAUGGCAGCAACAAUGGAUGAGCUCGUAUGUUGUGUGUAGCACCAGGGAAAUGGGAUGUUGGUCCAUUUUCUUAAGACUAAAGCAUAGGAUAAGUCGGUAGGUCCACGACUACCAUACCCGUCUUAUCUAGCCAAUGGAAGUUAGCCAACGUGACAAACAUGGCAUGACAUGUCUUGCUCUGGGUUCAGCUGCGUCCCUACAUUCCAUUUCCAGCUCGAUACCGCAUAGUAGUGUGUUGUAAUGUGAGUUGCC